rnacentral:lncRNA from 1 species
CAGGUAUGAAUUGAUAAGAAAUGCCUGCACCUUACCUCCUUCCUAUCUUUCCCUUGCCUACAGAAAAUUAAAAGGCAAAGACAAUGGACAUCUACAUAUUCUUCAUUCAGAUCAACCAGUGGCUAGCAUUUGCCACCUUUGCAUUUUCUUUCUCUUUCCAUAAGUACUUUCUUCUCUGAAUCAUUUGAAAGCAAAUGAAAACAGUAGCCUAAAGUGUCAGUUUCAACCAGAAAAUAACAGCUCUGAUUUCUCAUGGCUCACACUCUUCUGAAAAGAUUCAGGAGGAGGCUCAGGAAGGCCAUGUUGUUUGUCUACCUGGGACUACACCUACUGAAAGAAGUUCUCAAGUUCUGAUUGAGUUCUAAAAGAUUUUGAAGAUUGGAAUUCUUCAUAGUCAGAUCUAAGAUUCUUAGUUGAAAGGAUUUCCCCACUCAGUACUUUGAAUUAAUCAACCCUACUGCCUUCUGGCCUCCAAGGUUUCUGGU